rnacentral:lncRNA from 1 species
GUAGAACUGUUGUAAAAGCCAUGCUAUUUAAGUGGGAUAUUGCAGAGAGAGGCAUUGAGAUUUGGAUUGGAAACUACAGAAGCAGUAUUUUAGGUUAGAUGCCUUCAGAGAAUACCUGACUUGCUAGGACACACCUGCUAAGCUCUAUGAAAUGCAGUACUUUGUGACUUAGCACUUCCUAUCAAUGUACAGAUGGCAUCACUCUUUUCAUUCUGGACCCUGAGCAUGUGCAAGAGACAGAAAAAGCCAGCAGCCUGACAAAGCAGGGGCCCGAUGGGAUGGCACAUGCUCAGACAAGAGAGAAAUGAUGCAGAAAAAUCCAAACAGAGCCUUUUUGUAUUAAAGCUAGGGGCUGGGUCUCUGCUUUCUGAUGCUUGAUGGAAAGGAUUUUCUGGGUUUAGAGGCAAAGAGGGGAGUGUGACUGUGUAACUUACCGGCCCAAAGUAGCAUCCUCCCCAUCUCUGCUGCAGGCCCCAUACAAAGGCCUGGGGCCCUGUCUCUCUGUGUAAGAUCUGAGCUGAGGAGAGGCUUGUUAUCUCUGUGACAGGAGAACAGCUGCACAAGGCAUUGUACCAGAAUCCAGCUGCAGGGCCUGCAUCCAGCUCCACAUUUGUCCCAUUCCCCAGGGUCCUGGGCAGCCCACUGUGUUGUCAGACCCCUCACCUGCUGUGGCCAAGUUCAGAGAACUCACUGCACAUCAAAUCUUCUCAAGGUAAAAAUCCCUUUGCCAUGUCUUUGACCAUGAGAGGGACAGGGAGGGAGAUCUUGGUCAAAACGUUCCACCAGGACCGUAGGGAAUUUUUUUGUGGCUCCCACAAAUUUUGGAUAGUAAAGAGUAGAGUCAGAAAGGAACUAAGAAAGAGAGAAGUGCUAGCUCCCUGCUUUGAGUUGGCUCUAUCUACUGAUGAACGUACUGGCUAUUGUAAAUAAUGCUUCAGUGAACAUAGGGGUGCACACAUCUUUUUGAAUUAGUGCUCUUGUUUUCUUUGGAAAGAUACCCAGAAGUGGGAUUCCUAGAUACUAUGGUAGUACUAUUUUCACUUUUGAAGAAGCCCCAUACUGUUUUCUAUAGGGGCUGUAUCAACUUAUGUUGAUUGCCCACUAAUGUAUACUUUGAGAUAGAUGAUAAAGUUGGAAAUCCCAAUCAAUUUACAGCAAAAAGAUAAGUUCCAGGAAGCUUAUAAGUUAGAUUUUAGAAAUAGAUAAAUAGAAACUUCUAGGCACUUAUCUAUUUAUAUAUAGAUAAAUAGAAACUUUUAGACACAUUAUCCAUGAAUAAAGCACAUCCAGAAAAGGC